rnacentral:lncRNA from 1 species
GGUUUCUUUCCUUUACAUCUGCCCUUCUCACUAUGAGUCUUUUUCUUUGUCUCUUUCUCAGCAGUCAGCAUUUAUCAACUUAGAGGAUGUUAUUCCACAAAGGACUAAAGCAGGCUUUGGGGGAAGUAACUGUAGCUAAAGUGCAUCUGGCCUUUGGAAUAAACACAGACCUUAAAUACUGCUCAAAGGGGAAAAGAAGCCAUUGGUGUGGUCACCUCUUGUCACUGACUGACAGGUCAGCCCUGUAGCCAGAGGAGCUUGGCCGACUGCAGUCUCCUCAGACCUGCUGGAAUAGGCACAGCCUCCUUCGAUGCCCGAUGCCCGGAUGUGGAGAACGUCCGCCCAGGGAACCUUUAUUCUUGUGCGUCAUUAGGCCGUACAAUAGCUGACAGAUUGCACACCCAGCUGCCCCUCCCUGCCCCGUGGGCCGAGAGUACAAGGGCAAACGCUUUUAUGACUAGAGCAGACACUUGCCAUGUUUGGUGUGUCUCCUGCAUGAAAAAGCCAAAAGAAGCCCGCAGUCAUCCGGGUCCUCCCUCCGCCAUCACACCGGAUGCCGGUUCACCCGUUCAGACACGCGCAACACUCCAGAGGAGGGCAGUGCGCAUUGUCAUUUGUAAUUUAUGCCAAAGAACUGAAUAAAAAAUUUUUGCUUUAAAUAUUUUGAGGCAUAUUAGACUUAUUAUUCUUUGCUCUGCUUUGGUGUGUUUAUGAUACGUAAAACAAUUCUCU